rnacentral:rRNA from 1 species
UACGUAGGGGGCUAGCGUUGUCCGGAAUCAUUGGGCGUAAAGCGCGUGUAGGCGGUCCGGUAAGUCCGCUGUGAAAGUCGGGGGCUCAACCCUCGAAAGCCGGUGGAAACUGUCGGGCUAGAGUGCGGAAGAGGCGAGUGGAAUUCCUGGUGUAGCGGUGAAAUGCGUAGAUAUCAGGAGGAAUACCGGUGGCGAAAGCGACUCUCUGGACGGCAACUGACGCUGAGGCACGAAAGCGUGGGGAGCAAACAGG